rnacentral:lncRNA from 1 species
AACACUGGGGUUAUAACCAUGUAUCAACUUUAGCAAAACAUUACCAUUAUCUGAUACUAAAUUGGAAACACCCAAGUCCCUAAAACAGAAAAAUCACAUGAGAACUCCAACAUUCAGCCAACAAAUUAAACGUAAAAGGGAUCAAGAUAUCAAGAGAACCACAUCCUCUACAGUAACACUAAAGAGUAAAUAAUAAACCAAGAAAUAUAUGCUACAAGAAUCAACAAAAAAAUUGAAUUAAAAAAAAAAGAUUGAUAAGAAUUAUUUUUUUUACUAGAGAGUGCAAAUAAAAUCUCGAGGCUCCAAACUGUGAAGAAAGUUAAAAUCUUGACAACCCAAGCUGCAGAAAAACACAUUCACAGUUCAAUUCGUUUAUAAGGAAUAAUAAAGAACUCACAGAUGAAAUUUUAUUUGUCUAUCUAAAGAAAUUCGCUAUAAUAUGUUGAAUCAAUGAUCAAUAUCCGUACUCUGACUCGCUGCAAAACAUAUAAACGCAUAUCUCGAUUAUCCAAUGACGAAUUAUAUAAAAUAAUCUCAAAAUUUACAAAUAAUUCUUGAUAACCGAUCCAUAAAAGAUGUAGCACCAAUUUCAACCAAGGCAGAACGGGAAGGUGUGUACCUCUGCCUGCCACACAUUUAUAGGCUACUUCCCCUACAACGCCUACACAAAAAACUCAAAAGAGC